rnacentral:rRNA from 1 species
GUGUCAGCAGCCGCGGUAAUACGAAGGGUGCAAGCGUUACUCGGAAUUACUGGGCGUAAAGCGUGCGUAGGUGGUGAGUUAAGUCUGUCGUGAAAGCCCCGGGCUCAACCUGGGAAUGGCGAUGGAUACUGGCUCGCUAGAGUGCGGUAGAGGAGAGUGGAAUUCCCGGUGUAGCAGUGAAAUGCGUAGAGAUCGGGAGGAACAUCAGUUGCGAAGGCGGCUCUCUGGACCAGCACUGACACUGAGGCACGAAAGCGUGGGGAGCAAACAGGAUUAGAAACCCUGGUAGUCC